GGGAACGUGGCUCAGUGGAUAGAGUGCUUGCCUUGCAUGCAUGAGGCCCUGGGUUCGAUUCCUCAGCACCA
rfam:Dipodomys ordii contig_6064, whole genome shotgun sequence.